AGAGUUUGAUCCUGGCUCAGGACGAACGCUGGCGGCGUGCCUAAUACAUGCAAGUCGAGCGCGGGAAGCGGACAGAACUCUUCGGAGGGACGUUCGUGGAACGAGCGGCGGACGGGUGAGUAACACGUAGGCAACCUGCCUGUAAGACUGGGAUAACUCGCGGAAACGCGAGCUAAUACCGGAUAAUACUUAUGAUCUCCUGAUGAUAAGUUGAAAGGCGGCUUUUGCUGUCACUUACAGAUGGGCCUGCGGCGCAUUAGCUAGUUGGUGGGGUAACGGCUCACCAAGGCGACGAUGCGUAGCCGACCUGAGAGGGUGAUCGGCCACACUGGGACUGAGACACGGCCCAGACUCCUACGGGAGGCAGCAGUAGGGAAUCUUCCGCAAUGGACGAAAGUCUGACGGAGCAACGCCGCGUGAGUGAUGAAGGUUUUCGGAUCGUAAAACUCUGUUGUCGGGGAAGAACAAGUAUGAUAGUAACUGAUCGUACCUUGACGGUACCCGACCAGAAAGCCACGGCUAACUACGUGCCAGCAGCCGCGGUAAUACGUAGGUGGCAAGCGUUGUCCGGAAUUAUUGGGCGUAAAGCGCUCGCAGGCGGUUCUUUAAGUCUGAUGUGAAAUCUUGCGGCUCAACCGUAAACGUGCAU
rnacentral:rRNA from 1 species